rnacentral:rRNA from 1 species
AGGAUGAACGCUAGCUACAGGCUUAACACAUGCAAGUCGAGGGGCAGCACGGUCUUAGCUUGCUAAGGCCGAUGGCGACCGGCGCACGGGUGAGUAACACGUAUCCAACCUGCCGUCUACUCUUGGACAGCCUUCUGAAAGGAAGAUUAAUACAAGAUGGCAUCAUGAGUCCGCAUGUUCACAUGAUUAAAGGUAUUCCGGUAGACGAUGGGGAUGCGUUCCAUUAGAUAGUAGGCGGGGUAACGGCCCACCUAGUCUUCGAUGGAUAGGGGUUCUGAGAGGAAGGUCCCCCACAUUGGAACUGAGACACGGUCCAAACUCCUACGGGAGGCAGCAGUGAGGAAUAUUGGUCAAUGGGCGAGAGCCUGAACCAGCCAAGUAGCGUGAAGGAUGACUGCCCUAUGGGUUGUAAACUUCUUUUAUAAAGGAAUAAAGUCGGGUAUGGAUACCCGUUUGCAUGUACUUUAUGAAUAAGGAUCGGCUAACUCCGUGCCAGCAGCCGCGGUAAUACGGAGGAUCCGAGCGUUAUCCGGAUUUAUUGGGUUUAAAGGGAGCGUAGAUGGAUGUUUAAGUCAGUUGUGAAAGUUUGCGGCUCAACCGUAAAAUUGCAGUUGAUACUGGAUAUCUUGAGUGCAGUUGAGGCAGGCGGAAUUCGUGGUGUAGCGGUGAAAUGCUUAGAUAUCACGAAGAACUCCGAUUGCGAAGGCAGCCUGCUAAGCUGCAACUGACAUUGAGGCUCGAAAGUGUGGGUAUCAAACAGGAUUAGAUACCCUGGUAGUCCACACGGUAAACGAUGAAUACUCGCUGUUUGCGAUAUACUGCAAGCGGCCAAGCGAAAGCGUUAAGUAUUCCACCUGGGGAGUACGCCGGCAACGGUGAAACUCAAAGGAAUUGACGGGGGCCCGCACAAGCGGAGGAACAUGUGGUUUAAUUCGAUGAUACGCGAGGAACCUUACCCGGGCUUAAAUUGCAGAUGAAUUACGGUGAAAGCCGUAAGCCGCAAGGCAUCUGUGAAGGUGCUGCAUGGUUGUCGUCAGCUCGUGCCGUGAGGUGUCGGCUUAAGUGCCAUAACGAGCGCAACCCUUGUUGUCAGUUACUAACAGGUUCCGCUGAGGACUCUGACAAGACUGCCAUCGUAAGAUGUGAGGAAGGUGGGGAUGACGUCAAAUCAGCACGGCCCUUACGUCCGGGGCUACACACGUGUUACAAUGGGGGGUACAGAGGGCCGCUACCACGCGAGUGGAUGCCAAUCCCCAAAACCUCCCUCAGUUCGGACUGGAGUCUGCAACCCGACUCCACGAAGCUGGAUUCGCUAGUAAUCGCGCAUCAGCCACGGCGCGGUGAAUACGUUCCCGGGCCUUGUACACACCGCCCGUCAAGCCAUGGGAGCCGGGGGUACCUGAAGUGCGUAACCGCGAGGAG